rnacentral:rRNA from 1 species
GAUAAACGCUGGCGGCGUGCCUAACACAUGCAAGUCGAACGAUCCCGCAAGGGAGAGUGGCGGAAGGGUGAGUAACACGUGGGAAUCUACCUCCUCGCAGGGAACAACCUCUCGAAAGAGAGGCUAAUACCCAAAAGGGUCAGAAAUGAUCAGAGUCGAAAGGCGUGAGGAGAGGAGCCCGCGGCCCAUCAGCUAGUUGGUGAGGUAAUGGCUUACCAAGGCUACGACGGGUAGGGGAUCUGAGAGGAUGUCCCCCACACUGGAACUGAAACACGGUCCAGACGCCUACGGGUGGCAGCAGUGAGGAAUAUUGGACAAUGGGCGAAAGCCCGAUCCAGCAACGCCGCCGUGGAGGG